ACAGAAAGAGAAUAGAAGUCUUUCAAAAUUGUUGGAAAAUUAUCUGGAAAUUGUAAGUGCUCCAGGCAAAAGUCUGGCUGUGAUAUGACUUCUGGGAGACACUUCUCACAAGAGGGAAGAUAAGUACUGUCAGACCACAGAUCCCUGUUCCCGGGGAGCAUGCACCAGGGAAUACAAGAAAGUGGUGGUCCACAACCUUUUUGGCACCAGGGACCGGUUUCAAGGAAGACAAUUUUUCCAUGGACCGAGGGUCGGAAGACAAUGGUUGGAUUCUGCUUCACUAGUAGUCCAUCUCAAUGAAUCGGUUCCACAUAUUGCCUUCAAGAUUAAUUUACUUUUUCUUCUCCGGGACACAGCGUUCAGAAAACCCAAAUAGAAAAGCCACCAAGCUUACCAUUUCAACCAAGGAUAAAUAUAAGAACAUCCCAGCAGUGACUGUGAAGAUCCAGUCUUGAACGCAUGGAUCAGCUGACACGGAAAGGCCAAUGUAUAAUCCUAUGAAGGCAGUUAGGGAACUUACAAAAUUCAUCAGGAUGGCAGUCUUCAUAGAAAGUCCGGAGCUUAAGAGCACAGCAAAGUCUC